rnacentral:rRNA from 1 species
UACGUAGGGUGCGAGCGUUGUCCGGAAUUACUGGGCGUAAAGAGCUCGUAGGUGGUUUGUCGCGUUGUCCGUGAAAACUCACAACUCAAUUGUGGGCGUGCGGGCGAUACGGGCAGACUGGAGUACUGCAGGGGAGACUGGAAUUCCUGGUGUAGCGGUGGAAUGCGCAGAUAUCAGGAGGAACACCGGUGGCGAAGGCGGCAUCCUGGACCGACAUUGACGCUGAGGCGCGAAAGCCAGGGGAGCAAACGGG